rnacentral:lncRNA from 1 species
CUGUGUGCUGUGUUCAGCGGAGGCACCCACCUUAUGCUCCAAGCCAUCCUGGGGCCCACUCAUGGUCUCCAGGAUGACGUCUGAGCUCCUCCUCGGAAUCAUGGGUCCUCACAGUCUGGUAAUGUGGGACAAGAAUCCCCCUCCUUGAAAGGGAGGAGAGCCUGAAACCAAUAUGGAUGGACAUCCUGUAUGAAGACACGGGGGAGACGGAUCUGGAGGGAGAUCUUCAGGCAGACAGAUGCCCCAGGACAGACAGAUUCCCCAAGGAAAGAUGAGACCUCAAGGCUGAUGCCAGCCAGCGCCAAGGGAGCAGAGCGUGGGAGGAGGAAUUAUGAGGACGUGUGAGCCUGAAGAGACAGAGGCCAAAGAGAGCACCCAAACUCCCCAGGUUAGGGCCUGAGAUGUUCCCCAUUGGACCCGAAAGGGAUCUCCCUGGGCCCCACUCUAGUCAUCCCCAGCCCUUCUCCCUGCACCCGAUAAACUCCCAGUAAAUGUCCUUU